CUACGGGCGGCAGCAGUGAGGAAUAUUGCACAAUGGGGGGAACCCUGAUGCAGCAACGCCACGUGGAGGAUGACGCAUUUCGGUGUGUAAACUCCUUUUAUAUGUCAAGAAAAUGACGGUAGCAUAUGAAUAAGCACCGGCUAACUCCGUGCCAGCAGCCGCGGUAAUACGGAGGGUGCAAGCGUUACUCGGAAUCACUGGGCGUAAAGGACGCGUAGGCGGGUUGGGAAGUCAGGUGUGAAAUCCUACAGCUUAACUGUAGAACUGCACUUGAAACUUCUAAUCUAGAGUAUGGGAGGGGGAGAUGGAAUUAGUGGUGUAGGGGUAAAAUCCGUAGAUAUCACUAGGAAUACCUAAAGCGAAGGCGAUCUCCUGGAACAUUACUGACGCUAAGGCGUGAAAGCGUGGGGAGCAAACAGGAUUAGAUACCCGCGUAGUC
rnacentral:rRNA from 1 species